AAGCAACUGGGUGCAACUUUUAAUCUCAUUUCAUAGCUAACUAAGCCAUGUAUAUAUGUCAUCAUGUUUAGAACUUUAAGUACACAAGUUACUUUAAGUUCGUCCCUCUUAUUUUCAAAACUUCAAAACUUCAAAACUUUAUUCCUAAAGUCAAUGUCAUACUAAACUAAUCAUGCAAGGCAACUUCAACUCACACAUUAUACUUGUUUGUACAUGUUUCUAC
rnacentral:lncRNA from 1 species